GCACCCAUGGAGCAGAAGUCGAGCUCAUUCCUCUCACAACUGGCGUGGCCGAGUGGUAAACGGGAAAGACCCGGGUGCAAAUCCCGGUGGGUGCA
rnacentral:tRNA from 1 species